AUGGCACAUUGCAUCAUAUGUCCACUCGUGUAUAAUGGGAGCAAUCUGGUCUACUGAUCUAUCCACUAUAAGCAACUCGCAAGUUUCUGUCUGUGGAAAGUGAGGAAGAGUAGAUUUGUACUUUGUAAGAGAAUUCCAAACACCAGCUGCAAGUUUUGUAGGAAUUAAAUCGCGAAAGGUUGUCAUGGUGGUAGGAUCAAGAGAUUUUGCAGCGCGAUAGCGCACCAAAGGAAAUUCCCGCAAUGAUGCAAAAACUGUAGCAAUACGGUUCGCCAUCUCAUUCAAACACAAACUACCCUUCCGAGAACCUUCAUCAUCUCCAUAAAGUUCUUCAAGCGCCCUCUCAUUAUCG
rnacentral:misc_RNA from 1 species